GGUUCCAUGGUGUAAUGGUAAUUACUCUGGACUUUGAAUCCAGUGAUCCGAGUUCAAGUCUCGGUGGAUCCC
rnacentral:tRNA from 14 species